AUUGAACGCUGGCGGCAGGCCUAACACAUGCAAGUCGAGCGAGCGGCUGACGGGUGAGUAAUGUCUGGGAAACUGCCUGAUGGAGGGGGAUAACCACUGGAUACGGUAGCUAAUACCGCAUACCAUCAGAUGUGCCCAGAUGGGAUUAGCUAGUAGGUGGGGUGAUGGCUCACCUAGGCGACGAUCCCUAGCUGGUCUGAGAGGAUGACCAUCCACACUGGAGCUGAGACACGUUCCAGACUCCUACGGGAGGCAGCAGUGGGGAAUAUUGCACAAUGGGGGCAAGCCUGAUGCAGCCAUGCCGCGUGUGUGAAGAAGGCCUUCGGGUUGUAAAGCACUUUCAGCGGGGAGGCGUUACCCGCAGAAGAAGCAACGGCUAACUCCGUGCCAGCAGCCGCGGUAAUUC
rnacentral:rRNA from 1 species